CGGGUUGUAAAGUACUUUCAGCAGUGAGGAAGGUGGGUAUGUUAAUAGCAUAUUCAUUUGACGUUAGCUGCAGAAGAAGCACCGGCUAACUCCGUGCCAGCAGCCGCGGUAAUACGGAGGGUGCGAGCGUUAAUCGGAAUUACUGGGCGUAAAGCGCAUGCAGGUGGUUUGUUAAGUCAGAUGUGAAAGCCCGGGGCUCAACCUCGGAAUUGCAUUUGAAACUGGCAAACUAGAGUACUGUAGAGGGGGUAGAAUUUCAGGUGUAGCGGUGAAAUGCGUAGAGAUCUGAAGGAAUACCGGUGGCGAAGGCGGCCCCCUGGACAGAUACUGACACUCAGAUGCGAAAGCGUGGGGAGCAAACAGGAUUAGAUACCCUGGUAG
rnacentral:rRNA from 1 species